GAUCUGUGAAGCAGGUGCCGUUCAGGAACGCGGUGCCCAGUGGAGAUCUUCGUGGGUUAAGAUGAUAACCAUAAACCUGAUAGUCGCAUGAGCGGCGAAAGAAAACAUCUGAGA
rnacentral:ncRNA from 1 species